rnacentral:lncRNA from 13 species
CACUUAGUAUGCUGCAUUUACCUAAUGCCUGUACCCUUAUUGUACCUAGGAAGCAAUUAACUUGCUUUUGAUUUUACAGGCUCAUAGGUGGAAGGGACUUGCCUUGUCACAGAUGAGACUUUAGACUGUGGACUUUUGAGUUAAUGUUGAAAUGAGUUAAGACUUUAGGGGACUGUUGUGAAGGCAUGAUUGUGUUUUGAAAUGUGAGGACAUGAGAUUUGGGAGGAGUCAGGGGCAGAAUGAUGUGGUUUGGUUGUGUCUCCACCCAAAUCUCAUUUUGAAUUUCCACAUGUUGUGGGCGGGACCCAGUGGGAGGUAAUUGAAUCAUGGGGGCAGGUCUUUCCCAUGCUGUUCUUGUGACAGCGAUCUCUCAUGAGAUCUAACAGGGAGUUUCCCUGCACAAGCUCUCUCUUUGCCUGCUGCCAUCUGUGUAAGAUGAGACUUGCUCCUCCUUGCCACCUACCAUGAUUGUGAGGCUUCUUCAGCCAUGUGGAACAUUCCUCAAGAAAGUCCAUGCUCCAACAAGAGGCAUCUUGGAACUGAGACAGCCAGGUGGGAAGGGCUCCUGGCAAAACUUCAAUCGGUCUGCGCACUGGGAGGAAUGAACAGUGGGAUGGAGCCAUGGAAGUCUGCACCACCGUUUUCAGCAGGGAAGGGCCUGGCCCCUCCUCUUUCUGUGCGAAACUUGAGAUUCACACUUCAAGGUCUUGGAUCUUGGACAAGUCACAACUGUGUUACCUUCAAUGAAAACAGCAGACAAAUCUUAUUUGUGAUAUUUUUUGUGAUUCUCAGAACGUGCCAAGGAUCAAUGGAAGCAUUUGCCUCUUGUCACAUUCAGGCCACUGAACAGGUGGCCUGA